UUCUUGAGGUUUUGCACAAGAUUCAGGCUCAUUGGCCUUACCGUCGCUUCGUCUUCUUAGUUCUGUUUGUGGUGUCAGGAAAUCUAGGGGAUCCUGUACACCUACCUCUCUGAGGUCUUGCGCAAGAUUCAGGCUCUGUGGCCUUACUGUCGCUUCGUCUUCUCAGUUUGGUUUGUGGUGUCAGGAAAUCUAGGGGAUCCUGUACACCUACCUAUCUGAGGUCUUGUGCAAGAUUCAGGCUCAUUGGCCUUACUCUUUUUUCUGAAAAAUAAGAACUUGCACAGAACACAUAUAACGAGGAUGCUCGUUGUUAAUUCAAUGAUAUUCAUCAAUCAAUAAUAUGUCGCACAUGUCACUUAGUUUCAUACUUCAGAUGAACAAAUGCAAGUAUUAACUCUUACAACGUUA
rnacentral:lncRNA from 1 species